AAGUCGUAACAAGGUUUCCGUAGGUGAACUUGCGGAAGGAUCAUUAUUGAAUAAACUUGAACAGGCUGUUUGCUGGCCCUCCUCUCAAGGGAGGGUAUGUGCACGCUUGUCAUCUUUAUCUCUCCAACUGUGCACAUGCUGUAGAUCUGGGAGCCAUUUUGUAUUCUCGGAUAGAUUGAGGAAUUGCUGUACCCAAGUGUCGGCUUUGCCUUGCGUUUCCAGAUCUAUGUUUUUUUUCUUCACAAUCUCUGAAUGUGUCUAGAAUGUUGAAUCGAAUAAUAAAUCAUAUACAACUUUCAGCAACGGAUCUCUUGGCUCUCGCAUCGAUGAAGAACGCAGCGAAAUGCGAUAAGUAAUGUGAAUUGCAGAAUUCAGUGAAUCAUCGAAUCUUUGAACGCAUCUUGCGCUCCUUGGUAUUCCGAGGAGCAUGCCUGUUUGAGUGUCAUUUGAGUUCUCAAACCAUGCUGAUUUUAUCGGCGUGGCUUUGGAUAUGGGGNUUUUUGNUUGCGGGCUUCUGAAAAAUGAAGUCGGCUCCCCUGAAAUGCAUUAGUGGUAUCUGAGCAGAGACUACUUACAGGUGUGAUAAAUUAUCUAUCUAUGCCUCGGUAUGCUGNAUGAAACAGAUUGNACCGCUCAUANCAAGUGGAAAUUUGACAAGUUUGACCUCAAAUCAGGUAGGACUACCCGCUGAACUUAAGCAUNUCANUAAGCGGAGGAAAAGAAACUANCAAGGAUUCCCCUAGUAACUGCGAGUGAAGCGGGAAAAGCUCAAAUUUGAANUCUGGCGGUUCUUGACCGUCCGAGUUGUAAUCUAGAGAAGUGUUACCUGUGCUGGACCGUGUAAAAGUCUCCUGGAAUGGAGCAUCAUAGAGGGUGAGAAUCCCGUCUUUGACACGGACAACCUGUGCGUUCUGGUGCGCUCUCAAAGAGUCGAGUUGUUUGGGAAUGCAGCUCAAAAUGGGUGGUAAAUGCCAUCUAAAGCUAAAUAUUGGCGAGAGACCGAUAGCGAACAAGUACCGUGAGGGAAAGAUGAAAAGCACUUUGGAAAGAGAGUUAAACAGUACGUGAAAUUGCUGAAAGGGAAACGCUUGAAGUCAGUCACGUUGGCUAGAAAUCAGCCUUGCUUCUGCUUGGUGUACUUUCUGGUCGACGGGUCAGCAUCAAUUUCGACCGCUGGACAAAGUCUUUGGGAAUGUGGCAUCCUCGGAUGUGUUAUAGCCCAUCGUCGCAUGCAGCGGUUGGGAUUGAGGAACUCAGCACGCCGCAAGGCCGGGUUUCGACCACGUUCGUGCUUAGGAUGCUGGCAUAAUGGCUUUAAUCGACC
rnacentral:rRNA from 1 species